ensembl:lncRNA
UGGAUAUGCAUUUACCUCAGUUAUUUCUCCUGGAUUAUUAAAGUGACUUCCUGAGCUACUCUGAAUCAUGAGUGUUCAUAAUAUUGUGACAAUGACUUAAUUUCCUCCAAGAUCAAGCAACUCCAAGAACAUGAUUUGGAGAAAUGUAGCAUUACAUCACUUGCUCACCAAUGGAUCCUCUGCAGGGAAUGAGUGGCAUCAGAAUGAGAGUCCAAACAGGAGCUUCAAAGAAGACGGAGAAAUCCAGAGUCUUGUGCCCUGCGUUUAUCGGUAUCCUUAUGUUCAUUGGGUAAAAAAGAAAAACUCAAUAAACAAAGUAAAAAAUAUCAAAGGUUUCUAUAGAUAUCACGACAUAUCGAUAUCGUGAAUUCUUAUGGCCACAAUAACCGUGGUAUGAAAAAUCUAAUAUUGUGACAGCCCUAGUAAACAGGAAUAAAUUACAUUUCAAAAUAUAUUCAAAUAGAAAACAGCUCUUUUAAACUGUAAUAAUGUUUUACACUGUUACUGUUUUUGCUGUAUUUUUUUUUAUUAUUAAUUAAAUGCAGCCUGGGUAAACUUAAGAGACUUCCAAAACCAUUAAAAAAAUCUUAAUUACUCCAAACAUUUGGCCGGCAGUGAAUACAGACAGAACAACAUAUGAUGGUAUAUUAAAAUUUGUAAACCACAACUGUUACCUGAAGGUGAUAUUUCUACCUGAUCUGGUCUGUUUUAAGCACCAAAAUUAAAGAAUUUAAUGUGCAUUUGCUGAGAUAUAACCAGGAACAGACUACUGAAUUUGUUAUUAACCGCUGUAUAUAUUUAACAGGUAAGAUUCAGCUCACACGGCAGGCAGUAAAAGAAACAUUAGACAGCGCUGAAUGUCUUUAAAUGCAAUAAAACCCCUGCAAUGCUUCCAUCACACCACAUUACCACAUGGACUCCAGAAAAAAAACUCUAUAUGGUCAAUUAGGAACACUGUGAAGUAGAAUUGCAGUUUCAAAAGAGAUAUUUCCAGUGUAAAAUAACCAGAACAAUGACAUGGUCACAUUUUAAAAACCAUGAAUUAUUAUCCAUGAGAUUGCCUAGAUGGGUGCUGUCUUGUGGGUAGAUGUGCUUGUGUAUAUAUUUAGGCUUUAUUGUCGUCAUCCUAAAUCUCAUCCACGUCCUGAUGUUAAUUUUUGUAUGACUCAAACAUUGUCAAGCACUACAAGAGAAGUCCUUACCAGAGGAUUUAUUUGCAGAGAGCUCUAAUGUUACAGCCAG